UGGAAGGAUUCUUUCAGCUCUGCCUAAGUGU
rnacentral:piRNA from 1 species